CGCGUAGGCGAUUUGGCAAGUCUUGUGUGAAAGCCCACAGCUUAACUGUGGAAGUGCACAAGAUACUGCUGAAUUUGAGUUCAGGAGAGGAAGGCAGAAUUCCUGGUGUAGCGGUGAAAUGCGUAGAUAUCAGGAGGAAUACCAGUGGCGAAGGCGGCCUUCUGGACUGACACUGACGCUGAGGCGCGAAAGCUAGGGGAGCAAACGGGAUUAGAUACCCCGGUAGUCCUAGCCGUAAACGAUGUACACUUGGUGUGAGCCCUAUUAGGGUUCGUGCCGCAGUUAACGCAGUAAGUGUACCGCCUGGGGAGUACGGUCGCAAGGCUGAA
rnacentral:rRNA from 1 species